GCCGUCUAAGUUUUCGGUUAAAUCUAUGCGCUUAACGUAUAGGCCGCCGAAAAUACUGGACAGCUAGGGAGUGGGAGAGGUACACGGUACUCAAUAGGAAGGGGUAAAAUCCUUUGAUCUAUUGAUGACCACCUGUGGCGAAGGCGGUGUACCAGAACACGUUCGACGGUGAGGGAUGAAAGCUGGGGGAGCAAACCGGAUUAGAUACCCGGGUAGUCCCAGCUGUAAACGAUGCAGACUCGGUGAUGCAUUGGCUUGUGGCCAAUGCAGUGCCGCAGGGAAGCCGUUAAGUCUGCCGCCUGGGAAGUACGUACGCAAGUAUGAAACUUAAAGGAAUUGGCGGGGGAGCACCACAAGGGGUGAAGCCUGCGGUUCAAUUGGAGUCAACGCCAGAAACCUUACCCGGGGCGACAGCAGAAUGAAGGUCAAGCUGAAGACUUUACCAGACAAGCUGAGAGGUGGUGCAUGGCCGUCGCCAGCUCGUGCCGUGAGAUGUCCUGUUAAGUCAGGUAACGAGCGAGACCCCUGCGUCUAGUUGCUACCAUUACUCUCUGGAGUAGUGGAGCGAAUUAGACGGACCGCCACAGUUAAUGUGGAGGAAGGAAGGGGCCACGGCAGGUCAGUAUGCCCCGAAACCCUGGGGCCACACGCGGGCUGCAAUGGUAUUGACAAUGUGUUCCGAAUCCGAAAGGAGGAGGCAAUCAUCAAGCGAUACCUCAGUUAUGACUGAGGGCUGUAACUCGCCCUCA
rnacentral:rRNA from 1 species